rnacentral:snRNA from 1 species
CUACCAUACAGAGAAGAUUAUUAGCAUGGCCCCUGAGCAAGGAUAACAUGCAAAUUCAUGAAGUGUUCCAUAUUUUA